rnacentral:rRNA from 1 species
CGCCCGCACUCCACAACCCUCCCUCCCUCCUCGAUCUCUCUCCCUCAGCCACCACAAACCCUAGGUCCUCCCCUUCUGCCCUGCUAUCCACCGCGCCGCCUCCUCCUCCCCUUCACCAUUCCCUCCAGCGGCAGGCACAGGGAGACGACGGCGGCGCUCGAUUUGAUCCGCCCCGCUCCCCUCCCUCUCCACUAUGCCUCGGCCUCGGCCGCCCCGUGCUCUGCCGGCGCCCGUCGGCCUCGAUCCGGCCUCGGCAGGAGGAGCUCGCCCUCGAGACAGGAGGAGGGGAGCAGCAGGAUACAGGAGCAUGGCCUUCUUCUCGCGCUGCAGCCGCCGGCCUUGUCCUGCUCGAGGAGGAGGAGGAGCAGGAGGGGCGCACCCAGCCACCAAGGUAGCCGUCGUCGAGGGCUUCUUACACCUGAACCUCGAUCUCCACGGUGCUGGCGUCCAGCAACUCGAGUUCAAGGGAAGGAGAGGAUGAUGACGCCCAGACAUGGAGAGGAACAACAGCAGCUCAAGAUGCUAAUGUGGCUGCCAUAUCUGUGCCAAGCAGUGCCUGCUUAUAAUGUGGUGAAGCUACAGGAAAGAGGGAGGAAGCCGGCGACAGGGUGAAGGAGCAGGCCGGCCCUCAUGGAGGCAGCGCUACCAGCCAGCUAGGGAGGCGGUCCGGCUCGCCUCUGCUAUGCCGUGAGCGGCGGCGCUACCUCUGCCUCCAGCCUCACCUCCUCUGCCAACCAUGGGAAAAUUUAGGGGAGACCCAAGGCGAGCUUCCCCUCUGUUGCAUGCACUCCUGAUCUCUAAAGAUUUCUGUAGCCUAAAUGCCUAUGUACCAUAAUAAUAAUUCAAGCGGAUGGCCAAUGCGCCUUGGUGUUUAGCGGUAUGAUGGUCGGUGAAAGUGUGUUAUAUAUAUAUUGCAAGGAUCGUAAGAUGCUUUUACACAUGAUUGUGUGAUGCUCAGAGACAUUUUGCACAGUAGAAACUUCUUGUGAAGCUUGAUUUUAUUCAGAGCCAUAUGAUUUUUUUAUAGAAACAUGUGCAGAGUAAAAUGGACACAUCUUCUGGUACAUCUGAGCACCGACGACCACAAUGGGAUGGAUCAAACAGCCAAGACUCAGAGUGUGGUCGGGCAGCGCCAUGGGGCAGAUCUGUGCGGCGCAAGGGGCGGCAGAUGCGAAACUGAAGCUUCCCCGAACUUCGGAGCAGUCAAUCGAGCAGAUGGACACGACGCGAACCCAGAAGGGGGAGGCUCCUGAAUAAUUCAUAGGACAGCAGCUGAAUAAUUGGAAGAAUCAUUUUGUACACACAAGAUAGUACUGACAACAUAAUGCUCAGUCAUUUUUGAAUUAGGUUCAGAUAGAGUGAGGAUUGGUGCUACCGCCCCUGGUAGGAGCCCAAUGUCCUAAUCGAACUACUGUCAUGGAGAGGGCAAUACGUGGAUUUGCUUCAGAUAUUGGAGAUAACGCCAUUGUGCCGAAGCUCGGAACAAUCUUCGAUACAUUAGGUGAAGCAUACGAUUUUUACAAUCUGUAUUUAUGGGAGAAAGGAUUUGGCAUUCGAUAUGGUAAAAGCUGUCUGAAUGUCGAGAGGAUGUGGAAAUCUAUUGUGGAUAAUACUGGUCUUGCCGGCGUUAGUGCCCUACUCUGAUAAGGCUGCUGCAGUCUGAACCAUUCAUUGUAUCGCACGUAUGUGCAGACGAACACUGACGAUCGCACAAGCACAUCAACGUGUACAGCAGGGAUUUGAUGAAGAAUUUGAGGCAGAACAAUGUGAACCUUGCUAAAGUGCACAACAUUAGGCAGUUUCCUUGGGUCGAUGGAGAAUGUGCCUUUCACAAAAAGAGCUUCAAGGAGCUUGUGUGGCAAAAUAAGCCGCGAGCAACCGGCUGAUGAUGUUAGUUAAACGAUGGAGGUGUUUGCGGAGCUUGGUUCAAAGGAUCCUCACUUCACAUAUCAUGUGCAGGCCGAUAAGGAGGGAAGGAUAAACGCACUCAUGUGGGCAAAUGGGGACAGUAGGCUGGUGCAAAAAAGACUGUAGCUUAUUCUCAAAUUUUCUGUCUCUAAUACUGAAUUUGGUGUGUACCGAUAAAUCAUGUAGCGUGUGAGAUCCAUCAUGCAGUUUAACUGCUAAUCCCAAUUAUGUUAUGCAUGCCCUGAAGCUGAUGAAUUUGUGUUCUCCUAUACUGAAAUGUCAAAUUGAUUGUG